GGCGCACCCAGAAACCCUUUGUGAACUUAUACCUUACUGUUGCCUCGGCGCUAGCUGGUCCUUCGGGGCCCCUCACCCUCGGGUGUUGAGACAGCCCGACGGCGGCCAACCUAACUCUUGUUUUUACACUGAAACUCUGAGAAUAAAACAUAAAUGAAUCAAAACUUUCAACAACGGAUCUCUUGGUUCUGGCAUCGAUGAAGAACGCAGCGAAAUGCGAUAAGUAAUGUGAAUUGCAGAAUUCAGUGAAUCAUCGAAUCUUUGAACGCACAUUGCGCCCUCUGGUAUUCCGGAGGGCAUGCCUGUUCGAGCGUCAUUUCAACCCUCAAGCCUGGCUUGGUGAUGGGGCACUGCCUGUAAAAGGGCAGGCCCUGAAAUUCAGUGGCGAGCUCGCCAGGACCCCGAGCGCAUGAGUUAAACCCUCGCUUUGGAAGGCCCUGGCGGUGCCCUGCCGUUAAACCCCCAACUUCUGAAAAUUUGACCUCGGAUCAGGUAGGAAUACCCGCUGAACUUAAGCAUAUCAAUAAGGCGGAGGAA
rnacentral:rRNA from 1 species